AUUUAAAAUUAAAAAUCACACUAAAUUUUCUCUUAGUUUUUCACACCCCUGUAACUUAUUAAAAUAAACAUUAUAGCAGUUCUCAGGGACUUUCGGCCCUCUCUAAUAACGUAAUAUUUUAUUCUGCAUUUAAAUUUUUCAAAAAUACUUAUUAGUUUUCUCAGGAUUCGAAAAAAGGAAUCCCCAUUUGAAUAGCAUUGCAGCCGAAAAUACGUAACCAUCCUCUUAAAAUAUUUGACUUUUACUGGACUGGAUUUAGAAUUUGACGAAUAUGAACCUAUUUGACAUUAGCUACUAUACAUAUAAAUUACAGCUCAAAAAUAGUUUUUUGUGAGUAGUAAAAUAGAAUAAGUACUUGCUCCACACCUGUUCUGUGUUUGUUCCUUCACAUGACAUUUGACAUAGCGAUGAAUAUGACAGCUGUCUCAAUCAGCUGUUGAAUUUAGUCCUUGGUUUUCCAAUGCCCUGAAAAGUUUUAAAAUAAAAACAAAAAAGAAAUGAAGAUGGUGGGUAAAAUUAUUUGGUAAUAACAAAGACAGAGGAAUUCAAAGGAAAAAGGCAAAUCCAAUUUGGAGGCAUGGAAAGUUACAAUAAUUUCUUAAAAGAAUGGAUGGAUAUUGUUUUUGAAAAACUUAUUAAACCAUGUCCAGAUGAAAUUCUAUAAACAAAGCACCAAUGUUCUUGAAGGUAUCUAAUACAGCAGCUAAAUGGAUACAAAUAUCGCCUGAAUAUGAAGGAAAUAUCGACUUGUUAUAUUUAUUAGAACCGAUGAAUAGGAAGCGAAAUAUUUUAAUUGGAGCUACCAUGAAGCACACUGAAAUGAUUCGAACUAGUAUUGGAAUUACCGUAGUAUAGUUGUUUUUCCCUAUAUACCAAUUAUAACAUUUCAUAUCUAAAUGAUGGUGCUAAUUGUAGAAGGAUUGUCAGACGCUAUUGAUAAUGAGGUUCUUUAUAAUAUAAAUAUCUAAGAGAAACAGGAAGAUUAAGUCAGUUCCAUAUGUGAUGUGUUUGCUGGUGCUGCAUUUCCUUUCAACAUCUAUUUUACUGCUAUCAACAAACAUUUUCAAGAGGCAGAUGUGUUAUAGAAAACAUUUGUAUUUCAUAUUUUGUAUUCCAUCAAAUAGGUUUAAAGUAUUACUCAAAAAGCAAUAAAAAUAAAACAAUUUUUUAACAAUUUUAAAACUCUUCAAGGCAACAAGUAAAAGCCAACUCUACAGACAACUCGUAAAGGGAUUUAUAAAAAAACACAAAGAUUAGUCUCCAAUUACAUAAUUUUAUCAAAUUAAAAAACAAUUAACUGGUUACAAUUAUUCGCAAUCUAUUUUGGACCACUAAACCCUUUCAAAAUUACAUGUUUGAUCAGUAACUUUAAUGCAACAAUAGUUUUGUUUGGAAUAUUAUUACUCAGCUAAACCAUGCAUAAAUGUUGUUAUUAGAAAGAAAAGUACAUAUUAACACCUUGCUGCGUUUAGAGAUAUUUUUUAGACUUAUAUGUUUAGUGCCUUACCAGGCAUAUAUGCCCUGUAUAUCCCAUUGGCCACUGUGCAUUAUGACAGCCAACCGUUAAUGUAAUACUAGGUCUAUUUGUCCCGCAACCUAGCCAAGGUGUUAAUAAAAAGCCGCUGUUAUGAAGUUAGGGCUAGUAUCAAAAAAUAUAUUUUACAAAAAUUUUAACCAAUGAUAAGUAAUGAUUUUGGUUCGAAACAUUAUUCAAACAAUUCAUUUCAACAACAUUUUUAGUAAAUUUGAACCGAUUAUUGAUUUAUUAAUCCAAUAAUUUUAUGUUAUAUGAAGAUAUUGUAAUAAGUAGGUAAUUACUGUUUUCAAUAAACCACUAAUUUUUUAGGAAUGUUUAUUUUUUUUUCAGUAGAAUGAAAACAAUUUUAAACACAAGCAUAUAAACAAGAAUUUGUUUCAAGUUUUACACCGUUUUGGGUAUUAUAGUAACUGUGGAACAAAUAAAACAAAUAUUUUAAUUGGAGCUACCAUGAAGCACACUGAAAUGAUUCGAACUAGUAUUGGAAUUACCGUAGUAUAGUUGUUUUUCCCUAUAUACCAAUUAUAACAUUUCAUAUCUAAAUGAUGGUGCUAAUUGUAGAAGGAUUGUCAGACGCUAUUGAUAAUGAGGUUCUUUAUAAUAUAAAUAUCUAAGAGAAACAGGAAGAUUAAGUCAGUUCCAUAUGUGAUGUGUUUGCUGGUGCUGCAUUUCCUUUCAACAUCUAUUUUACUGCUAUCAACAAACAUUUUCAAGAGGCAGAUGUGUUAUAGAAAACAUUUGUAUUUCAUAUUUUGUAUUCCAUCAAAUAGGUUUAAAGUAUUACUCAAAAAGCAAUAAAAAUAAAACAAUUUUUUAACAAUUUUAAAACUCUUCAAGGCAACAAGUAAAAGCCAACUCUACAGACAACUCGUAAAGGGAUUUAUAAAAAAACACAAAGAUUAGUCUCCAAUUACAUAAUUUUAUCAAAUUAAAAAACAAUUAACUGGUUACAAUUAUUCGCAAUCUAUUUUGGACCACUAAACCCUUUCAAAAUUACAUGUUUGAUCAGUAACUUUAAUGCAACAAUAGUUUUGUUUGGAAUAUUAUUACUCAGCUAAACCAUGCAUAAAUGUUGUUAUUAGAAAGAAAAGUACAUAUUAACACCUUGCUGCGUUUAGAGAUAUUUUUUAGACUUAUAUGUUUAGUGCCUUACCAGGAAUAUAUGCCCUGUAUAUCCCAUUGGCCACUGUGCAUUAUGACAGCCAACCGUUAAUGUAAUACUAGGUCUAUUUGUCCCGCAACCUAGCCAAGGUGUUAAUAAAAACCCGCUGUUAUGAAGUUAGGGCUAGUAUCAAAAAAUAUAUUUUACAAAAAUUUUAACCAAUGAUAAGUAAUGAUUUUGGUUCGAAACAUUAUUCAAACAAUUCAUUUCAACAACAUUUUUAGUAAAUUUGAACCGAUUAUUGAUUUAUUAAUCCAAUAAUUUUAUGUUAUAUGAAGAUAUUGUAAUAAGUAGGUAAUUACUGUUUUCAAUAAACCACUAAUUUUUUAGGAA